CCUUAUUAUGUUUUAUGUGUCAUCGGGACAGUAGAGUCGUAGAUCACCUUGCUGGUAUACCUUGGCCAUUUUUGCAUUCCACCGUCUUGUUGACAAAAACAGACCGAAAUCCACGAGGUUCUGAUUUCGUGUCGUGUCAUUUCUAAAAAAAAAUUCCAGUGACGUGCAUAAGGCGAACCAGUUUCGUGUAUCCGUGUAGACAGGCACCAUCCCAUGUAUUUGAUUCUGUUUCUGUAUGUAUUUGGUAGAUGUUCUCUACGUGUGCCCUAAUAUGCUCGUUUCCGGACGCAAAGUGGCAAUCCGGAAGAAAACGCCGACAGCCAGCGAGAGCCGCAGGGACAUAUCCUCAAGCUACUCGUUUUCGACGGAAGUUUCUUCGUUUGCCUGCAAGUCAGCUAACUGAUGGCUUACAGGGAUUCAUUGCCAAUCGGGCGGCAAUAAAUCGUCGAACGGCUGACGCGCUCACCAUACGUGCCCUUUUCUGACGUCGCACAUCGUCGGCCCGGACUCCAUCCGUCAGCAGCUACAUUACUAGCACAAUAUACACACACAGCCCUUACUGAGAGACUCAACUGUACACACCUUUCGGCUGUGUCGAGCCCUAUAUAUAUACAAGUGCUUUUUAGAGCUCAACUAAUCCGACCUCUCUGCUCGAUGAUAAUGGGCUGUUUGGGAUACACGGGACUCGUCUGACUUUGCUCGCCUUCUUUUUCCGCCUAUGGAUUUUAUUUGAUUUUCUUCCUCUUUUGCUUCUUAUUUUUACGAUGCUCGAAAUGUCUCUCGUCACUGUCGGCGUGCGAGCUCCUGUUAACGGCCGUCAACAUCUUUCAACCCCCUUCCCGCCCCUCGUCUUGGUCGUCUUUGAAAGAGAAAAAAGAAAAAAAGGGGGGAAAAAAAAAUUGACGGCAUCUGAGAUUGUCGCCAACUACGAGGCAGAUUUUUCUUUCUUUCUUAUACUUUUACGCUUCUCUGCUCCUCAUCCUUGUAAAUGGGAUGAAGGCCAAAAAAUAUUGUAAUGAGAUUCAGCCUAGACGUGUAUGCAAAUUGUCUAACUUGCGCGCAUCCGCUACUAAGCAGCGCACGACAUAGUACAGGAUUCGUAUUAAAUAGCACCCGUGAAUGACUGCAAAUUUUUUUAGUGAAAGAUUUAAGCGUAUCAUUCAUUUGAAUUUGGAAUGAAUGAAAGAAGAAAGCAGAAAGAAAAAUAAAUGUCAAUUUCGUUCGGCUUUUGCUGUCUGUGAAGUGAUGAACUGUCGGCUCGAACUGUGGAUAAUCCACGCUGAUUGUAUGCAUAAAUGAUAAGUUUAGAUUUCCCUGCGCGUUUCUUUCUUCAAGCACAAUAUCGCGCUCGGUUCACAUCUGGGGCGUUUCUGAGCGCCACAGUUAAAGUAAAGCAACAACAGAUUUCUUCAUAUCUAUUUUGACAUACCGUACACAGUCACAAAUAGGAUAAGUAAUAUGGGCCGCCUGUUCUGGCAGUAUGUUUGCUGUCAGACUAUACAAUCUAACGUGGCGAAGGACAUUUUUGCGACAUGUUGCUGUGCUAGAUCAACCAGCCAUUGGGGGAAUCGGUGAAUGAAUUUAUCAAGCUCUUGAACCGAUCAAGUCAUUUAUUCUAUACCAUCUGUUCACAGCAAUAGUAUUGGUCGACAUAUUUGACAGGCAUUGGCUACCCUGUAUAAAUGCAGGAUAAAAAAAAAUCAAAAAAAUGUGUGGUAUGGGGGAGGUAGUCUUGGCCUUGCAGAACUGAGUCGUUGGAAUUAGCCAUCUGGUUACGAAUGCUAUUGAUUAUUGAAAAGAGCGAGCGAGAAGGGGAGCCAGAAGUCACAACAUUAGCGAUGAGAGGAAUUUGAUUACCCAACGGCUGUCGAAUUGACUCGUCGCAAUAAUGACAAUUUGCGACGGAUGGCAUUAAUUUCGUCAACUAUUCUUGCCGUCGUUUCGUUUUUAAGCAGUUUUUUUUUUUUUUCGUUUUUUAAGCUAUCGUUUGUGACUACGUUCGCCAAUACGUCAAUCGGGUGGGUCAUUUUGAUUUUUGGUGUGGUUCUGACAGAUCGCAGAUCGUUUAUUUUCUUACCCAUGGGUAAACAUAUCCAAACCGGUUCCAAACAAAAAAAAGGAAUCAGAUCCUAGAACCAGUUCCUGGACCCCGAUCUAAAAACCGUUUACACCGCUUUUUUACCCCAUUUACCCGGACUUCUGCCCUGACUUCUAGCCAAAUAUAUUACCAUUGUUCAAACCCUUGUUUGGCACUUUUAAAUUUUUUAUAAAAAAAAAAAAAAAAAAAAGAAUAAAAUGUUAAUGGAAAAAUUCAAGCUUAUCUUUUAAUAAAACUGAGAUUGAUUGAUAAUUUAUUUUUUUUUGUGAAUCAAGUAUGUAGAAAAU
rnacentral:lncRNA from 1 species